rnacentral:rRNA from 1 species
GACGUAGGGCGCGAGCGUUGUCCGGAUUUAUUGGGCGUAAAGAGCUCGUAGGCGGCUUGUUGCGUCGACCGUGAAAACCCGUGGCUCAACUGCGGGCUUGCGGUCGAUACGGGCAGGCUAGAGUUCGGUAGGGGAGACUGGAAUUCCUGGUGUAGCGGUGAAAUGCGCAGAUAUCAGGAGGAACACCGGUGGCGAGGGCGGGUCUCUGGGCCGAUACUGACGCUGAGGAGCGAAAGCGUGGGGAGCGAACAGG